CGGAACGGGUGAGUAAUGCGUGACCAACCUGCCCCAUGCUCCAGAAUAGCUCUUGGAAACGGGUGGUAAUGCUGGAUGCUCCAACUUGACGCAUGUCUUGUUGGGAAAGUGUUUAGUGGCAUGGGAUGGGGUCGCGUCCUAUCAGCUUGUAGGCGGGGUAAUGGCCCACCUAGGCUUCGACGGGUAGCCGGCCUGAGAGGGCGGACGGCCACAUUGGGACUGAGAUACGGCCCAGACUCCUACGGGAGGCAGCAGGU
rnacentral:rRNA from 1 species